CCUUGCGACCAUAGAGGAGGGGCCACACCCGAUCCCAUUCCGAACUCGGAAGUUAAGCCCUCCAUCGCCAAUGAUACUGCUAGGUAGCUAGUGGGAAAGUAGGUCGUCGCAAGGAC
rnacentral:rRNA from 1 species